rnacentral:misc_RNA from 1 species
GUGAAUCAUCGAAUUUUUGAACGCAAAUUGCACUCUCCUCGGAGAGUAUGCCUGUUUGAGGGUCAGCCUAUAAAAAAUCGACAUCGUUGCUGUUUCGCGGUGGCGUUCGUCGGAAAUUGGGUCAUCUUAAAUCUUUUGGUUUUAAGCGACUUAAAUUUUUCUUUUUGUUCCCUUAAACUUUUCUAAGUUUUAUUCCUUUACCCGUUAAAGUAUCCAUUUUUUUUUA